AAAUAGCCAUAGGCGGCCCCUCGCUCUCUCUCGGCCGUAGCGCCAUCUUCUUCGAAGCCUUCGCACCAUGCGAGCUAAGUGGAGGAAGAAGCGAAUGCGUAGGCUGAAGCGCAAAAGACGAAAGAUGAGGCAGAGGUCCAAGUAAACUUCCAGACUUGUGCACCGUGCAUGGAGGCCACAAGGAGCAGAAGCAAGAAAGGACUGAUGGGAGGCCCGGGGGUGUCGGUACAACUAAAACCCAACCAGCAUGCGCUUUCGAAUUCAUCUCUGCUGCAUCUGGACUCUGAAACAUCUGU